rnacentral:rRNA from 1 species
GACGAACGCUGGCGGCGUGCUUAACACAUGCAAGUCGAACGGAAAGGCCCUGCUUUUGUGGGGUGCUCGAGUGGCGAACGGGUGAGUAACACGUGAGUAACCUGCCCUUGACUUUGGGAUAACUUCAGGAAACUGGGGCUAAUACCGGAUAGGAGCUCCUGCUGCAUGGUGGGGGUUGGAAAGUUUCGGCGGUUGGGGAUGGACUCGCGGCUUAUCAGCUUGUUGGUGGGGUAGUGGCUUACCAAGGCUUUGACGGGUAGCCGGCCUGAGAGGGUGACCGGCCACAUUGGGACUGAGAUACGGCCCAGACUCCUACGGGAGGCAGCAGUGGGGAAUAUUGCACAAUGGGCGGAAGCCUGAUGCAGCAACGCCGCGUGCGGGAUGACGGCCUUCGGGUUGUAAACCGCUUUCGCCUGUGACGAAGCGUGAGUGACGGUAAUGGGUAAAGAAGCACCGGCUAACUACGUGCCAGCAGCCGCGGUGAUACGUAGGGUGCGAGCGUUGUCCGGAUUUAUUGGGCGUAAAGGGCUCGUAGGUGGUUGAUCGCGUCGGAAGUGUAAUCUUGGGGCUUAACCCUGAGCGUGCUUUCGAUACGGGUUGACUUGAGGAAGGUAGGGGAGAAUGGAAUUCCUGGUGGAGCGGUGGAAUGCGCAGAUAUCAGGAGGAACACCAGUGGCGAAGGCGGUUCUCUGGGCCUUUCCUGACGCUGAGGAGCGAAAGCGUGGGGAGCGAACAGGCUUAGAUACCCUGGUAGUCCACGCUGUAAACGGUGGGUACUAGGUGUGGGGUCCAUUCCACGGGUUCCGUGCCGUAGCUAACGCUUUAAGUACCCCGCCUGGGGAGUACGGCCGCAAGGCUAAAACUCAAAGGAAUUGACGGGGCCCCGCACAAGCGGCGGAGCAUGCGGAUUAAUUCGAUGCAACGCGUAGAACCUUACCUGGGUUUGACAUGGAUCGGGAGUGCUCAGAGAUGGGUGUGCCUCUUUUGGGGUCGGUUCACAGGUGGUGCAUGGCUGUCGUCAGCUCGUGUCGUGAGAUGUUGGGUUAAGUCCCGCAACGAGCGCAACCCUUGUUCACUGUUGCCAGCACGUUAUGGUGGGGACUCAGUGGAGACCGCCGGGGUCAACUCGGAGGAAGGUGGGGAUGACGUCAAGUCAUCAUGCCCCUUAUGUCCAGGGCUUCACGCAUGCUACAAUGGCUGGUACAGAGAGUGGCGAGCCUGUGAGGGUGAGCGAAUCUCGAAAAGCCGGUCUCAGUUCGGAUUGGGGUCUGCAACUCGACCUCAUGAAGUCGGAGUCGCUAGUAAUCGCAGAUCAGCAACGCUGCGGUGAAUACGUUCCCGGGGCU